CGGAGCAGCGCGUAACUAGGGAGAGGAUAGGCCGGGCUGGUGGAGAUGCGGGGAGAGACCAGCCAAAGCUAAAGAGCCAAAGCAAAGGCAACUACAUUGUCGGCACUGCCCUAGGCUCCAGGGCCACAGAGACAACCAUAGCUUCAGCCUCCUGCUCCGAAUGACAUCUCUCAGAAAUCUUCCCUGACUGUCCAGGCGGAAUUAAUGGUUCACUUCCCUGUUCCUCUAUACCUUGAGCAUCCCUCUACAAUUGAAUGCUCCUUCAUUCCAUUUCAUUGCACCAGCAUGUAUCGAGGGUCUACUGUUAUCUAUCGCUGAAGAGAAUGAUUGCAAAAAACUUGAAUGAACAUGGAAAAUGCUGAUGAUCAGAUUUCCAUUGAAAAGAAAGGUGUGCUCCUUGGGGUGGGGGUGUUGUUGUAAUUGUCAGAAAAUGUUUAAUAAAAGAAACAGAAAUAACAAUAAUCUUGUUAGCAUAAUUGUGAGUGAACUUUUGCUCUUUUUUAAUUCUCAAAAAUACCCUAAACAUCAUGUUUCACGGUCUUUACAAAAACACCACCACAGAAACAACAGAAGCCUCCGGGCCUGAGGUGUCAUACUGGGUAUGGCCACAUGGUGUCCCUCCAGCUCAGUCUAAACCUUCCAGACUACAGUCUUCCAACAGUCUCCGCUUCGCCCAGCAGCCGGGGCUAGUCCGAGCCGAGCGAACCCUAAGCUACGGGAACCAGCUUCUUGGUGCUGUCCCAAGAGUGGAGAGGAGACAGAUGAACGUUUCUCAGGCUAGAGGAAGGCGGUUUAUUUGCUUCCAAGGGUUCCAGUAGACAGUUCUGACACGAAAUUUCGUUGUGGAGGGAACUUUUAAGACUGUGUGAAGGGAGGGAAUGGGAAGGGUUUAGAUUUGCAUAGUAGGUGGGCAGCUUUGUGGCGGUUGGGAGGAGGUUUGGAUGACUUGAGAGAGACCAGGAAAAAAGCUGGAGUCCGGACUGAGGAACGGAAGGAUACGGAGUUUUUUUGUAGGCGAGGAUAUGAACAAGGAAGUACAUCACCCUCAGUGCUGUUGGCAGCCUUCCUGUGACCAUGAGGAGAGUCAGCUUCAAGAUGAUCCUUUGGAUAAAAGAGCAAAGAAUCAGAAAGAUCCUGGUUCCUUGAUGACUUCAACAAGCCAUUAGGUCAAUCAACAUCCUGAAAUUUGCUCUAUUUCUGGAUUCUAGUUAGGUGAGUCCAUACAUCCUCAUGUUUCAAACACAUUUAUUUUGUCCUCUUAUUGUGGUGGUUUUAAAAUAUGAAUACACAUUUUUUUCAUGUUCCUCCUUUAAAAAAGUGGAGCCUAAUUUUCCCCUACACUUAAGUGUGGGCUUGUCUUAGUGAUUUUUUUGUAAAGCAUAGAGAAUAUGGCAGAAGUGACAGUGAGUGACUUCUGGGAUUAGGACACAAAGGCAUUGUGUCUUCCUCCUUGCUUUCUCUAUUGUAUCACUGACUCUGGAGGAAGUCAGCUGCUGUGUCAUGAGGGCACUCAAACAGCCCUAUGAAGAGGUCCAUGUGGUAAGGAACUGAGGACUUCUGCCAACAGCCAGCAAUAACUUGCCAGGUAUGUGAAUGUGCCAUCUUGGAAGCAAGUUCUCCAACUCCAGACAAGCUCUCUAAUAACUGUGGCCCCAGCUGACAUCUUGGCUGCAACCCCACGAGGGAAUCUGAGCCAGCACCACCAAGCUAAGCCACUCCUAAAUUCCUGACUUGCAGAAAAUGUGUGAAAAUAAAUGUCUAUUGUUUUAAGCCAUUCAGUUUUGGGGGUAAUUAGUUAUGUUACAGAAGAUAACUAAUACUCUUAUAUCUGAAGGCAUCCUAAAACAGAUGCACCUUCCUAGCUAUAAUCACUGACGUCCAGUAUUGAGUUGAACACAGUUCAUUUCACCAGGGUCACUGUAUUUGUUUCAUUCUGGAGCCCCAGAGAAGUAGCCAGACCAGGGAGAAGAAAUGACUGGGUUGUGUGUCUUGGUCAUAUGUUUCCCUUGGCCAGCCUGUUGUGACAUCAUAGGGCCUUGGACAGUGCCACAGUUUCCUAUGGCCCAGCAUGAUGUGGGAGGUGCAGAAUUAAUUCCUAGUCACCAGAGAGAAGUAUGAAAGUGGCUGGGCAAGUAGAAUCUGAAUAGGGUUUAUAGCUGGGAAUGAGAGGUGACAGGACAUCUGAGCUUAUAUCAGUGUUGGUAGAUAAUAACAGAAAAGCAGAUUGCCACCCCUAUUCCAAUGCCUUGGCCCUCUUUAACUCUGAGAAAAAGAAGGGAACCUCAGUGGAAUGGAGCUUAAAAAUAAAUUGUAAUAACAAAGCAAA